rnacentral:lncRNA from 1 species
AUUCAGUUACUGCUAUUUGACAUCCCUUCCUUAUCAUGUGUAAUAUUAAUAAUAUGAAGUUUGCAACCUCCCAGCUGCCUCAUCCAGUUUACCAAGGUGACAGUGCAUCUGAUGCAACAAGCCAUGUUGCACACUCGCACUCUGCAUCCUCUCAACUCACGCAAGGACGUGAUGAAGGCUUGAUGGUGCUUGCACAGGUGAACAUUUCAAUUCACUAAUAAUAGUCAGCAGUUGCUAUUGAACACAAAAUUGUAUCAGGCCAUUUGGUGCAUAUCAGUUUCAAGUAAGACUGCACAACGCAUAAUAGGGAUGAAUGCGGCUAUCGCACGCUCAUCCCUGUAAAUUCCACGUCUCGCUUAGUCCACGUCAUGCUGCACAGUUUUACUUGAUGCGGUUAUUUACUUAUUGAUGUCUUGCCCUCAGGUUGCCACAAGUUUUGAUGAACGCACAGCUCAGGCCAGCCUACCUACCCUUGGUUUGUCUGGCUUAGGUGCUGGUCUCUACAGUCAGACUACAUUUGAACAGGCUGCCAUGAAUUUGGAGUAUGAAAGUGCAGUCCAGACCAGCCUGUCUGAGCCCGGUCCAUCCGGCCUAAGUACCAGUCUUCCUAUUGAGCCACAACUUGCGCAGGUGAGCAUCUAUUUUAUGUGCAAUUCACCCAACACUUUUAUUGUGUUAUAAGCAUACAGUGGUUGCAAUUGAAGUUUAAACGGAAAUGGCUAACAUGUGCUCUUGCUACCAGGCUGCAAUGGAUACUGGAGACAACAGUCAAGUACAAGAGAGCCUCUAUGUCACCGACCCAUCCAGCCUAGCUGCUGUUCUUCAAUUGGAGGUGACACCAGCGCAGAAAUUGCAAAGGUCAUCGAAUGUGGAAGCUGCUCUAACAACGCCAAAAAAAAGGAAGCUGGCAAAGGUAAGGGAGAUCUACGGAUGGAAACUAUCUUACCAAAGCAAUGUAUGUGCAUCCAAGUAAAUGAAUGUGAGCAGUUCUAGUAACCGGGCGUCCUUAUUUUGACAUCAUUUUUUUUUAAAAAUCACCUGUGGCGAAACAGCACAA